rnacentral:rRNA from 1 species
UCGGGAAUUUUGGGCAAUGGGCGAAAGCCUGACCCAGCAACGCCGCGUGAAGGAUGAAAUCCUUCGGGAUGUAAACUUCGCAAGAACGGGAAGAAUAAGUCUGUGCAAAUACCACGGACGAUGACGGUACCGUUUGUAAGCUCCGGCUAACUCCGUGCCAGCAGCCGCGGUAAUACGGGGGGAGCAAGCGUUGUUCGGAUUUACUGGGCGUAAAGGGCGCGUAGGCGGCACCGCAAGUCGGUUGUGAAAUCUCCGGGCUUAACUCGGAAAGGUCAACUGAUACUGCGGAGCUAGAGUGCGGAAGGGGCAACUGGAAUUCUCGGUGUAGCGGUGAAAUGCGUAGAUAUCGAGAGGAACACCUGCGGCGAAGGCGGGUUGCUGGGCCGACACUGACGCUGAGGCGCGAAAGCUAGGGGAGCGAACGG